GCCUGUAAUCCCAGCUACUCGGGAGGCUGAGGCAUGAUAAUCGCUUGAACCCAGGAGGCAAAGGUUGCAGUGAGCCAAGAUCGUGCCACUGCACUCCAGCCUGGAUGACAGAGCGAGACUCUGUCUGCCUUGGUUUUUUUCAGACAGUCUCACUCUGUCAUCCAGGCUGGAGUGCAGUGGCACGAUCUUGGCUCACUGCAACCUCUGCCUCCUGGGUUCAAGCGAUUAUCAUGCCUCA
rnacentral:sRNA from 1 species